AUCAUCACCAUGCUUUCUAUGAGAAAUCAACAGAAUAUGAUGCCCAAACCAAACCCUAAUCCAUAAAUUGAAGAGAGGAUCAAAGAUAAUCUUCAAAGGAUGCAAAAUCUUAGCAACAUGAAUCUCUCCCGACAUCCGAUCAUAAAAAACCAUCCAUAACUCUAAGUCGGCUCAAAAAUCAACUCUUCAGCUUCCUCCCUCACAGAAAUUUUCCAGGUAAAAUCUUUGCUUUCUCCUUUGGAAUAUGAGUAAUUAUGAGUUGAAAUUAAGGUUCACAAAUUCUUUAUAGAAAAGGGUUUCAGGGUUUAUGAUUUUUUUAUUCUUGGCAUUCAAACUGGAGAACACGGCUCAUGUUAUCUAAAACAAAGGCGUCAGUAUAAAACAUAGAAAAUGUAAGCGAGAGAGGUUGAUGAUUAGUGAAGGGUUAACGCUCGAGGUUAACAUGAAACAUGAGAAGCAGCUUGGGAACAUAGAACAAAGCCGGAUUUUCUUUGUUGAUGGUUGUGGCAAGGAUGGGAAAGAGAUUUAUGUUCCCUUUAAGGAACAUUAGUGACAAAUUGCUAUGAUCAAACCUGAGGAGAAAAAAUGGGUUAGAUUCAUGUAAUGUAAGAAGAUAGGUCUUACAAUUUUAAUAGCUAUGAAUUGGAAGAUACUUUGAGGGUGGACAAGGGAGUCAUUGUCAAAAGAAAAUAAGGUCGAAUUAGUUUCAUCAUCAUCAGAGUCCGAAAGAGUUUUCUCCUACAAGUGAUUACAGUUGUGUCAUCUUUGCCUCUUCCAAGAACUGGUCUUGUUGGACAGAGUCACAGAGAGCAUCAAUUUUAGAUUUAAAUAUUAAAAAAAAAUCAGUUCAAGAAGUUUUGCAUAUUUAAGGAACAAAAAAUGAAGUUUUGCAUUUUAUUACUUUCAUGUCUUUAAUACAAACAAACCAUUAAACUGAUGGAGUCCACCAGUAGUUACUAUAAAAUAGUUUCAUCUUGAACUGAUUUUUUUUUAACAUAUUAGAAAAAUAUAUAAGUUUUUUUUAAUAUUCAGUAGUGAUAAUGUUCACAUAUUAGUGCAGAUGAAUAUUCUAAAAAUUUAUAAAUACAAAUAAAAUUACUAGAAUAAGUUAUUUAUUUCUAUCACUUUCAAUUUUAAUUAAAAAUUACAUGUAAAUAUUUUAUUUCAACAAUAUAUAAGAUAAAUAUAUAUAAUAUUUAAAUUCGUUGAACUUUUCAUAUAUUAGUUCCCUAAUCUAAUAAAAUAAAUAUAUAAUAAAAACCAUAGAAACAUGUCAUGCAAUUAUUUAAAACAAUUAACUGAAAAUGGACAAAUAUGUAAACUAUAAAAUUAUUGUAUCUAAGAGAGUCAUACAAACAUAAACUAAAUGAUUAGUAUUAAAAAUAUAUAUACCAUAAAUGAUGUAAAAACAAAUAUUAAUGUAUAUAAAAUGAAAAUAAAUACCCGCACAUCAAAUCUAAGUAUAUAUAUUACAAAGUUUAUUAAACCAAUGGUAAGAUCUUUGUAGCCCCACAUUCUUUUCCUUCGAAUUGAUAUAUAGCCUUUGUGAAUCGUGUGUGUUGUUAAGGAGUUUAUGGAAGUUUGGAUUGUUAUUAGUGAUCUGGCUGUUACAGAUUCAGAAUGCCACUCGUUCUUCGAUGACUAGUCAACGCUAUGGUGGUUCAUGUCCCUUUUGCCCCUUUGGACUGGUUGAUUGGGGUCGGCAGUUGAGGUUCUCUUCAUGGGCUUGUCUACAUCAUGUCUCAAUCUGUCUUCUAAUCAUGGUUUUAUUGUGGGUUUUUUUGUUGUUUCUUUUAUUAUCUUUGUGAAGUUGUUCAUGUUCACUUAUUUGAGCCUUCGAACGGUUUCUCUGAGUGAUGCUUGUCUUCGUUCAGAUGUUAUAUCCGGUUGUGCUCUUAUCAAUUCAUCGUCUAAGGCUUCCCUUCUGAUUUUUUUGUUGGUCGGGUUGGUGUCAUUCUGGUUCCGAUCCGCCUUCUUCUCAGGUUUGUU